rnacentral:rRNA from 1 species
GGGGAUAACACUUGGAAACAGGUGCUAAUACCGUAUAACACUAUUUUCCGCAUGGAAGAAAGUUGAAAGGCGCUUUUGCGUCACUGAUGGAUGGACCCGCGGUGCAUUAGCUAGUUGGUGAGGUAACGGCUCACCAAGGCCACGAUGCAUAGCCGACCUGAGAGGGUGAUCGGCCACACUGGGACCGAGACACGGCCCAGACUCCUACGGGAGGCAGCAGUAGGGAAUCUUCGGCAAUGGACGAAAGUCUGACCGAGCAACGCCGCGUGAGUGAAGAAGGUUUUCGGAUCGUAAAACUCUGUUGUUAGAGAAGAACAAGGAUGAGAGUAGAACGUUCAUCCCUUGACGGUAUCUAACCAGAAAGCCACGGCUAACUACGUGCCAGCAGCCGCGGUAAUACGUAGGUGGCAAGCGUUGUCCGGAUUUAUUGGGCGUAAAGCGAGCGCAGGCGGUCUCUUAAGUCUGAUGUGAAAGCCCCCGGCUCAACCGGGGAGGGUCAUUGGAAACUGGGAGACUUGAGUGCAGAAGAGGAGAGUGGAAUUCCAUGUGUAGCGGUGAAAUGCGUAGAUAUAUGGAGGAACACCAGUGGCGAAGGCGGCUCUCUGGUCUGUAACUGACGCUGAGGCUCGAAAGCGUGGGGAGCGAACAGGAUUAGAUACCCU